rnacentral:rRNA from 1 species
UGCCAGCAGCCGCGGUAAUACGGAAGGUGCAAGCGUUAAUCGGAAUUACUGGGCGUAAAGCGCGCGUAGGUGGUUUGUUAAGUUGGAUGUGAAAGCACUGGGCUCAACCUAGGAACUGCAUCCAAAACUAACUCACUAGAGUACGAUAGAGGGAGGUAGAAUUCAUAGUGUAGCGGUGGAAUGCGUAGAUAUUAUGAAGAAUACCGGUGGCGAAGGCGGCCUCCUGGAUCUGUACUGACACUGAGGUGCGAAAGCGUGGGUAGCGAACAGGAUUAGAUACCCUGGUAGUCCACGCCGUAAACGAUGACAACUAGCUGUUGGGAGACAAUGUCUUUCAGUGGCGCAGCUAACGUUUUAAGUUGUCCGCCUGGGGAGUACGGCCGCAAGGCUAAAACUCAAAUGAAUUGACGGGGACCCGCACAAGCGGUGGAGCAUGUGGUUUAAUUCGAUGCAACGCGAAAAACCUUACCUACUCUUGACAUACUUGGAAGCUCUUGUAAUGAGAGUGUGCCUUUUGGAACCAAGAUACAGGUGCUGCAUGGCUGUCGUCAGCUCGUGUCGUGAGAUGUUCCGUUAAGUCGGAUAACGAGCGCAACCCUUACCCUUAUUUGCCAGCGAUUCGGUCGGGAACUAUAAGGGGACUGCCGGUGAUAAACCGGAGGAAGGUGAGGACGACGUCAAGUCAUCAUGGCCCUUACGAGUAGGGCUACACACGUGCUACAAUGGGGAAUACAGACGGACGCUAAGCCGCGAGGUGGUGCUAAUCCUAAAAAGUUCUUCGUAGUCCGGAUUGGAGUCUGCAACUCGACUCCAUGAAGUCGGAAUCGCUAGUAAUCGCGAAUCAGCAUGUCGCGGUGAAUACGUUCUCGGGUCUUGUACACACCGCCCGUCACACCAUGGAAGUGGAUUGCACCAGAAGUAGAUAGUCUAACCUUCGGGAGGGCGUUUACCACGGUGUGCUUCAUGACUGGGGUGAAGUCGUAACAAGGUAACCGUA